rnacentral:rRNA from 1 species
CGAGCGAGCGCGGAUUUCUUCGGAUGAAGUGACUGAGCGGCGGACGGGUGAGUAACGCGUGGGUACCUGCCUCAUACAGGGGGAUAACAGUUGGAAACGGCUGCUAAUACCGCAUAAGACCGCAUGGUAAAAACUCCGGUGGUAUGAGAUGGACCCGCGUCUGAUUAGGUAGUUGGUGGGGUAACGGCCUACCAAGCCGACGAUCAGUAGCCGACCUGAGAGGGUGACCGGCCACAUUGGGACUGAGACACGGCCCAAACUCCUACGGGAGGCAGCAGUGGGGAAUAUUGCACAAUGGGGGAAACCCUGAUGCAGCGACGCCGCGUGAGCGAUGAAGUAUUUCGGUAUGUAAAGCUCUAUCAGCAGGGAAGAAAGUGACGGUGCCUGACUAAGAAGCCCCGGCUAACUACGUGCCAGCAGCCGCGGUAAUACGUAGGGGGCAAGCGUUAUCCGGAUUUACUGGGUGUAAAGGGAGCGUAGACGGCAUGGCAAGCCAGAUGUGAAAGCCCGGGGCUCAACCCCGGGACUGCAUUUGGAACUGUCAGGCUAGAGUGUCGGAGAGGAAAGCGGAAUUCCUAGUGUAGCGGUGAAAUGCGUAGAUAUUAGGAGGAACACCAGUGGCGAAGGCGGCUUUCUGGACGAU